rnacentral:rRNA from 1 species
UACGAAGGGGGCUAGCGUUGCUCGGAAGCACUGGGCGUAAAGCGCACGUAGGCGGAUUGCUAAGUCAGGGGUGAAAUCCUGGAGCUCAACUCCAGAACUGCCUUUGAUACUGGCGAUCUUGAGUCCGGGAGAGGUGAGUGGAACUGCGAGUGUAGAGGUGAAAUUCGUAGAUAUUCGCAAGAACACCAGUGGCGAAGGCGGCUCACUGGCCCGGUACUGACGCUGAGGUGCGAAAGCGUGGGGAGCAAACAGG